GCUCCACGCAGCCUCUCCCGGCAGGAGGGGUUGUGCGGGGCUAAAGAGGAAGCCAAAGCAGCGAGCAGGAUCCAUCCCACUCGCUGCCUUGGCUUUUGCCAUAGCCGCGCACAACCCCUCUGGCAGGGAGAGGUUGUGUGCAGC